CCGAAUGUGGUGCAAGGUUGAUCAGCGAUUGUUAGAGUCUCCAUUUGUUUUACGAAACUUCUAAUAAUAACACAGGCCGGUGAACUAGCUGCAGGGGAAGAGCGUCUGCGUGAGGUCUUCCAACAAGUUCAACAACUGAAGGCUAUGCAAAGACUGCAUUGAUUUUUGCUGUCAACAAUUCGAUCAAGUUUAAAGUUGCCUCGUCCGCAAUCAAUCACUCGGACGUCAUGGUUGGAUGCGAUGGAAGAAACCGUUCCAUUCUAGCCGUUUUCCUCCUCAUCCUCUUUGCGGCAUGCCUGAUAGGCGGAGCGGUCCUGAUUGCUGAGGGAGUCAACGCUGGACCAUAUUAUCGCGGGUUCCUAAUUGCGUGUGGAGGUGUCUGCUUGCUCAUUUGUAUACCUUUUGGCCUCGCAGGCUGUGUGCUUGGGUGUCAGGUCCGAAUUGAGAGUCAAAAUUUCAACAGAGCUCUGAGGCAAUGUGCCCAUGAAAGCGCAAGCAUAGCCCAGCCAGGUAGAAUAGGAACUGCUGCAGCUGCUGCUCCCGGCGCCGCCGUCAUCCCGAACGCAAUCAUCCUACCCACUAACAAUCCAGUUGGACCGGUAAUGGCAAUGCCAGUCACACAUCCUGCUUAACAAUUACAUUAUAUUGUGGCAAACGACUACUGAUCCCGAACACAACCAGCAAUAGCAACAUGAGCAGCGACAGGCGUAGCAGCAGCAGCAACAGGAGCAGCAGCAGGAGCAGCAACAACAGCCUCAGGAUGAGCAAACCACCGCAUCCGUCCCCUCUGCGCCGCCGUUACUGGAAUCUGCCAGGAACGAUGCUCCUCCAAGCUAUUCACAAGCAUUUUCCACUGAAGUCUUAGUGACUAACACAAAAGAACUGUUCACGCCUUGUUUGUACUACGGAACAGGUACAUGUAAUAAUAAUAAUAAUAAUAAUAAUGGUAUACAAGUAAGAACUAAGCGUGACAAGUGUGUAUCAGCAACAAAAAAACAAAAAAGUGAGAACGAAUGAUAAUAAUAACAAUAAUAAACAAGAAGUUUUCUGCACACUUUUGUGAGAAAUAAUAAUAAUAAUAACUUUAUUAGGAAAACCCAAAGGCUGAACGCCUAUCGUGGGGUCCGUCGCAUUCAAGGAUGUGUAAUGUGUUGCCCGAACCAUGAUUAACGUGAAACUAGGAGGUACACCACCAUGCAAUGUACAAUGUACAUGCAAGUCUAGGAUCUUCUCUCACUUCUGUCUGCUUUAUAAUAGUCUCAGGGGCGGAUCCAGGAGGGGUUCCAGGGGUUCCGCGGAACCCCCUAAAUUUCGUAUUUGUACUACUGGCCACCAUACUCGCGUCCAUGUACAUGUAGAUGUACAUGUAUCCGACUGAGCUACUUACUAGCAUUCAGUUUUGAGUCUUUUGACUAUACUGGAAACCCCCUCUAGAGAUCGCUGGAUCCGCCGCUGAGUCUUAUCCUUCUACAGCAGAUAUCUCUUUAUUGGAUUGCAAUAGAAUCGUCUUAGCUUUUUGGCAAUCCGUUACAUUAAAUUUUGAAAUCUACACGUGUAUCAUAUACACUGUAGGGUUGGGGUUCGAAGCUUCCCAGAUGUUUCCUAAAAUGCAUUAUGACACCUCGCUUUCAAGAAACACUGGGAAGUUCACUUAUCUUGGACUUCUCCGGGGCCAAUUGUUUCGUAUAACGUGCGUCAAUCCAAAUCUUUUUUUAUUAAGUUGCGUUUCCCAACCCUUUCCGCAAUGUGUAGAACCCCAGUGCUAAAGCAGUUCCCCAUACCCAUUCCAUGCAAUGAGGCGGAGAACUCAGUGAUGACGAGUUGUGGCACACAAUAUUUAACAAUUACAUUUCCAAGCCAGCGACCGUCCCAGUCGCAAAGCCCAGGCAACUAUUUCCCAUACAUACGGAGGUGGCACCGAUCAGAAAUCAUCACCACGAGCAACAGCAAGAGGCGCAGCAGCAGCAGCAGCAGCAGCAGCAACAACAGUCUCAGGAGCAGCGGGAUGUGCAAGCCACCUCUUUGGCCCCCUCCGCGCCGCCGUUAGAGUCAGCCAACAACGAUAUUCCUCCGCGCUAUUCCCAUUUAUUUGUGGCUAGUCCACGUCUUAGUAAUUGACACAAAGGCUAAUCACAGUGGUAUACUUUUUGUAGCAUUGUACAGCAUUUGUAUAAACAUUAAGUUGUGUCUAUGCCACCACUCCGACAAGGCGCCCAACCGCAAAACCACCAGCAAGAGCAGUGGAAUCAGUCAUGCUACCAGCAACAGCAGUGGAACCAGUCACGGUACCAGCAACAGCAGUGGCAGCAGCUACUGUAGUCUGCAGUGGCAGCAGCAGAGGCCGCAGCAGCAGCAAUAGUGGCAGUAAUAGCUGUCUCUGCCGCAUCAGCACCAACCUCAACAUUAGGAGCAAUAGCAGCAGCACCAGCAGCAACAGCAACAUACAAACACUUAAUUGACAGUAGCCGGAGUAAGCAGCUGCCCUAUUCCGCUUUGCAUCACUGGAUCAUCCCAGCAGCUAUUUUUCAAUAUUGACAAAAGAAUCAUGAUACCUACGUAACUUGA